ACUCAGAAGGGAAUUCCAGGGCAGAGGCUGCAGGGGCAGUCUGGAACAGGAAGGGGGCUGGGGCCGCGGAGCCCGCAAACGCAGAAUGGGCCACGCCUAGGGUGAAAGGGACAGGUGGGGAGCAGUGCGGUUUUUCUUCUCGCCCUCACUGCUCCCAGUCCCGGGGCUGACUUCCCCCGUCCUUUCUGCAACUCCACCACCGGCCGUCACCUCUUAGGGCCUUGAGGGUGUGCAGGCGUCUUCAAACCUCCAGUGGCUAUUCUGGGCCUGCCCAGAUUGGGUAUUCCCCGGAGACCUGGGAGUCCUGGAACCUGCUCUCCAGUCACUGGAGCCUCGGCCCCACCCUGGAUCUGGACUGCAGCCACUGGUGCUGCCUCCGGUGAGGGGCUGAGAGGGAAGUGGCUGAGAGCUCACGGGCACCCCCUCGGCCCCCGAGAGGGAGCCCACAGCUGUCGGGGGAGCCGCCACCGCUGCCGCCGCCGCCGCAGCUGCCGCCGCCGCCGCCGCCGCCAUAGGACAGACCUCACCGGUAC